UACGUAGGUGGCAAGCGUUGUCCGGAUUUACUGGGCGUAAAGAGCGCGCAGGCGGCUGGGCAAGUCCGAUGUGAAAGCUUCCGGCUUAACUGGAAAAUUGCAUCGGAAACUGCUCGGCUUGAAGGUGGGAGAGGGUAGCGGAAUUCCCGGCGUAGUGGUGAAAUGCGUAGAUAUCGGGAGGAACACCAGUGGCGAAGGCGGCUACCUGGCCCACUCUUGACGCUGAGGCGCGAAAGCUAGGGGAGCAAACGGG
rnacentral:rRNA from 1 species